AUUGAACGCUGGCGGCAUGCCUUACACGCAAGUCGAACGGUAACGGGCCUUCGGGUGCCGACGAGUGGCGAACGGGUGAGUAAUACAUCGGAACGUGCCCGAUCGUGGGGGAUAACGAGGCGAAAGCUUUGCUAAUACCGCAUACGAUCUACGGAUGAAAGCAGGGGACCGCAAGGCCUUGCGCGGACGGAGCGGCCGAUGGCAGAUUAGGUAGUUGGUGGGAUAAAAGCUUACCAAGCCGACGAUCUGUAGCUGGUCUGAGAGGAUGAUCAGCCACACUGGGACUGAGACACGGCCCAGACUCCUACGGGAGGCAGCAGUGGGGAAUUUUGGACAAUGGGCGCAAGCCUGAUCCAGCCAUGCCGCGUGCAGGAUGAAGGCCUUCGGGUUGUAAACUGCUUUUGUACGGAACGAAAAGCCUUCUUUUAAUACAGGAGGGUCAUGACGGUACCGUAAGAAUAAGCACCGGCUAACUACGUG
rnacentral:rRNA from 1 species